CCGAAUUGAAUCAAGAAUUCUUAUAUAAUAAUAAGAUGAUUUUCAAUAUGAAACAAAGUUAGUAUGAACGCUGAAGAAAUUCAAAUAUAACAAUUAUAAAGUUUUUAUUUGUUCGGUUAUCAUGUAUGGUAUAACGACUAAAAUCAAAAUAUCAUCACUUAUCACUUAAUAAUCAAGAAGAAUAUUCGCCUUCUGUGGCCAAUUUUUUUUUUUUUUUAAUAUAUUGAAAUUGCAAUAUUUUAGAUUUAAUGGAAGAGAAGAUUAACUAAGACAAGUUGGUUGGACUGCUCGACUAGUCAUUGGAUUUGGGACUAACGGGCUAAUUCUUGCCAGAUCUAUUUACAGUCCAAUUUGACCCAUCUAAAUAUUUUGAAGUGUGACAAUUCUCUUGAAGACAUAAUUCAAAUAUAUCUAUUAUGACUUAAACAAUUUAAUCUUUUACAAAAUUUAGUUUAAUAGAUAAGAGAUCGCAUGACAUUUGAGUCACGUCCUUACCUAUUGAGGCAUUGCAAAAUAAGGAAUUCAAGUGAAAACUUAGAACGCUAAUUUUUGAAUGCAACAAAUUAUGAAAAAAUAAAUUCACGAAUUUUAUUAAUCGAAAGAUGAUAAAAAAAAAAAAUUAUGAAUUAACCCUUUAUUUAACAUACAAAUCUAGUUUGAACAAAUUAAAGCAGAAAAAGAUUCAAAAUAAACUAAAUAACAAAAAUAGCACUAAAACUUUAAAAAUAGUUAAUUCUACUCGUUUAGUCAUUUCUUUCUGAAUUGGUAUUAUGGCCCCUCGAUUGAAGCUCGACUGCCACACCUGCACUAUUACAAUUUUUUUUUAUUCCCUUUUUGAUCAAAUUCUUCUUCAAUUCAUUUUCCCAUUUGUUCUACAUCACCUAUUUAUGAAAAUUCUGCAUUUUUUUGAUUUUGAAGAAAAAAUAGUUCGUUCUUACGUGAAUAAAAGUGUUGAAGACAAUUUAUUCAAUACGAUUAUGCUCGAACUCAAUUACAAAAACUUGUGCUGCUCUUAAUUGGACUAGGAAUCAUGCAUGGGCAAAUGUUAUUAUGUUGAAUUCAUUUCUUGAUAUAUGUGGCCGAAGCCCUGAUUAGUAUUUGAGACAACUGUAUAAAUCAAUGAACAAUAUUUUUUCAAUAAUUUUUUCUUUCAGAAUAUUAUUCAGUGCUAUCACUUCCUCCCAAUGAAAAGG
rnacentral:lncRNA from 1 species